rnacentral:rRNA from 1 species
UACGUAGGGUCCGAGCGUUGUCCGGAAUUAUUGGGCGUAAAGGGCUCGUAGGCGGCCACCGCAAGUCGACUGUGAAAUCUCCGGGCUUAACCCGGAAAGGUCAGCCGAUACUGCGGGGCUAGAGUGCAGAAGGGGCAACUGGAAUUCUCGGUGUAGCGGUGAAAUGCGUAGAUAUCGAGAGGAACACCUGCGGCGAAGGCGGGUUGCUGGGCUGACACUGACGCUGAUGCGCGAAAGCUAGGGGAGCGAACGGG